GAUGAACGCUGGCGGCGUGCUUAACACAUGCAAGUCGAACGAAGCACUUUAUUUGAUUUCCUUCGGGACUGAUUAUUUUGUGACUGAGUGGCGGACGGGUGAGUAACGCGUGGGUAACCUGCCUUGUACAGGGGGAUAACAGUUGGAAACGGCUGCUAAUACCGCAUAAGCGCCCAGCAUCGCAUGAUGCAGUGUGAAAAACUCCGGUGGUAUAAGAUGGACCCGCGUUGGAUUAGCUAGUUGGUGAGGUAACGGCCCACCAAGGCGACGAUCCAUAGCCGACAUGAGAGGGUGACCGGCCACAUUGGGACUGAGACACGGCCCAAACUCCUACGGGAGGCAGCAGUGGGGAAUAUUGCACAAUGGGCGAAAGCCUGAUGCAGCGACGCCGCGUGAGCGAAGAAGUAUUUCGGUAUGUAAAGCUCUAUCAGCAGGGAAGAUAAUGACGGUACCUGACUAAGAAGCACCGGCUAAAUACGUG
rnacentral:rRNA from 1 species